GCCGGCGUGGCGCAACGGCAGCGCACUCGACUUGUAAUCGAGCGGUUCCCGGUUCGAAUCCGGGCGUCGGCU
rnacentral:tRNA from 1 species